rnacentral:rRNA from 1 species
GUGCCAGCCGCCGCGGUAAUACGUAGGUCCCGAGCGUUGUCCGGAUUUAUUGGGCGUAAAGCGAGCGCAGGCGGUUAGAUAAGUCUGAAGUUAAAGGCUGUGGCUUAACCAUAGUACGCUUUGGAAACUGUUUAACUUGAGUGCAAGAGGGGAGAGUGGAAUUCCAUGUGUAGCGGUGAAAUGCGUAGAUAUAUGGAGGAACACCGGUGGCGAAAGCGGCUCUCUGGCUUGUAACUGACGCUGAGGCUCGAAAGCGUGGGGAGCAACAGGAUUAGAUACC